CCCUCUCUCUCUCUCUCUCUCUCCAUGUGUCUGUUUCAAUGUUUUCACGGGAAAUUUUGGCUUGGAAAGUUGAUAACUUUGUGCUGCCUGUGGCGAGAUUAGUUUUCCGGGGAGAAAAUGGAAGUUUGGAGCUUCUUUUUUUUUUUCCCCCUUCCUUUGAACUUCUUGUCCUGAAUUCAUCUCUUCCUUGAGUAUCAUGUGCUAGAAUUUUAUUUCCUAAUCAAAAUUCCUCAUCUGGGUAUCACUGAACUGUUAUCAAUCUUUCUUACUUCAAUUCCUUUUCUAAUCCAAUGGCGCAAGCAGAGAAACCUCUGAACACCCAAAACCACCACCAGCAACAUCAGCACAUGUCUUUGAGCAAUAAUUUCCAUAAAGAUUUUGUGCAAACAUUCAUGCCUGGUAAUCAUUUCAACCACAAAGUUUGUGAAGAAACAGAAGGAGAAGAUGUUGAGUUAAGGCUUGGACUCUCGUUGAAUGGUAGAUUUGGUGUCGACCCAAAAGCUAACAAGCUCACUGGAUCAUCUUCAAUUCCAGAUUUUAUUAACCCAGCAAGAGAUAAUGGCAGUGCUUUUAUGGUAAAUUUGGUGAGUAACAAUCUUGUAAGGACUUGGUCUCUGCCUACAGAGACUGAUGAGGAGUGGAGGAAGAGAAAGGAGCUGCAGAUGCUUAGGAGAAUGGUCCAAAUGGAGGCUAAAAGGAAACGAUCAGAGAAACAAAGGAAUUUGAAGGCACUAAAUGAUAGAAAUAAGGGUUUUGGAGAAGAGAGCUACGAGGAAGAUAAGAGAGAAAAUGGCACCAUUAGCAAGAAUCAUAAGGAGCAGUUUGUCAAGAAUUUCAAUGGGCUGUUUGGAGCUAGUGCAGAAGGGCUUUUACCGCGAGCGCUAGUGACAGUAACAUCAUCUCAAGGGUCGAUUGGAUCACAGGGAAGUGGGUCAUCUGAAUCAGAAUCCGAGAGCCAGCCAGUUCAAGGUAACACAAUUACUCUUUAUUUUAUUUACAUAUUUAUUUGUAUAUAUUGAUUGCUGGUUGUCGUUUUUCUUCAAUAAGCUGAGUCUUUCAGGGAUUUUGCUUCGUAAUGUCAAUCAGCAUGAUCAGUAAGUUCUGCAGUCUGUGGCACUAUGUUUGGAUCAUGGUCCCUCAUGGUUUCAUAAUAUAUCGUAUGGUUUCUCACCUUGUUGAGGAGCUCAAUUUUUCUGGACUGCUGAAUUGUAAUGUUAUAUAUUUAAUUAUUUUACUGGGUUGUGUAUGCCAGCUUUCUGUGAGUUUAGUAGACGGAAGAAUUACAUCUACAGAGUGUCAAUAAUGAAAAGGGAACGUUAUUUGAAAUGUUCCUCUAAAUGCUUAUUUGUAUGAGGAGUGCCUACAGGCUAGAGGUUGGUUGAACUAUUUAUUCUAUUGGGACAAGAAACUCUUGCAUGCCGCAUUUCUAGGUAGUGUAUUUCUAGUUUAACAAUUCACUUUCCCUUUACCCUCGAAGAAGAAAAUUUUAAGAGAGAGAGAGAGAGAAGCAUAAUCAUGGAAGGAAAAAAAAAUGUUAAAUACAAUAUUUAGGCUUACAUUAUCUGCCUAGUUCCUUAACAUGAUUGAAAGGAGAAGCCUACUUGGCAGUUAGCGAUCUUGAUUACGAGUAGGAAGAUAAAUUGCUAGCAUAUUCCUUGCUUCAUGAAAAGUGCAUAAGAGUUCACAUUCAUGAUGUCAUCCUAGUGUUUAGGCCUUUGAGGCUUUAUGAUGCAGGUAAAAGUGGUUCAUAAGUGAGUUCUUGCUAACAUCUCAUAAAAUAGCACACAAUACAAUCAGUUAACCAGCAAAGCCUAACAUAUUGUAUACAAAUUUUGUAAGUUAGCAUCUGCAUGAUGCUUUUUUGGACUGAUGCUUUUAGAGUUCCUUUGUAGCAAUUUUAUAGCUCUUUAUGUCGGCGAGGCUUUCAAUUUGAAACUGGGCCAACUUGUCAAGGCUCUGCUCUUUAUCAGGGGCAAGAUGGCAGACUUGAAAGCUAUAGGAAAAUUCUUUUUCAAGCUAUUCAUUGAGGGGAGUGUAUUUUGUUCUUAAUUUUUAGAUGAACAUUGUAUUCAAUCAAUAAACUAUCAAGCUAAAAGUAGAAAUACGUUUGUAAUUAAGCUAAUAGGUGCUGUCCUUGAAUGAAGCAGCUGGAUGUUAUUACGCAUUGAAUGAUUCUGAUACGGUGAUAUGCGACAUCAAUCCUGUUGAUGUCUGAUAGCUUAGUAAGUUUAUGAUCCAGUAUUCUCGCUCUUUGUAAAUGCAAAGAUCAAUUUACUGGGUCAUUGAAAGAUUGCGCUGGCUUCCCAGAAUAAAUGUUUCAGUAAGCAAUUAAUUGGAUUAUUUUGCUGAGCUCUUGUUUCUUUAUUCUUUUUUUGCAAUAUAGGAACAAACAAAUGCAACGAGGCAAGAAGCCUUGUGAGUGUUCAGUCUUUGUCAGAGUGUGAGCAGAAAUUGAUGGCUACCCCUAAAUCAACGAUCAGUAAAAAAUCAAGCAGUCAUGAUGGUGUUGCAGUGGAAAAUAGCAGAUGUGGUGAACCUACAGUAGAGAAUGGAGCUAAGGAAAUGGUGAGGAAUUUAAUGGAAGACAUGCCAUGUGUGUCUACAAAGGGAGAUGGCCCCAAUGGAAAAAGAAUCAAAGGUUUUCUCUAUAGGUAUAAGAAAGGCGAGGAGGUGAGGAUAGUGUGUGUUUGCCAUGGAAGCUUUCUCUCACCAGCUGAAUUUGUGAAGCACGCUGGUGGUGGUGAUGUAGCACAUCCCCUUAAGCACAUAGUGGUUAGGCCCUAUCCCAUUUUGUAAUGAAAUUUUCAUGUUCAGCUUUAUGAACGAUGGUGAGGAAAAGAACAAGCAAAAAGGUUAAUGCAGUUCAUUUCUUCCCCCUUUUUCAGUUACAAUUUUUGUUCUCAGAUAUUAUCGUUAUUGAUACAUGAUGCCUGUCGCUGCAAAGGUAAACAUUGCGGUUUUUAAUCUUAUACUCAACAUUGUGACAGAAGAGGCUAGCUAUUGUGGCAAGGGUAAACAUGUUGCAGCAUAUUUUCACAACUUGGUUCCUAUACAAUACACAAUUUAAAUGUGUGGAGAUACAAGAUAUAUGAUGAAUAUAUAAGAUAUAUGAUGAAUCUGUUUAUUAAAUACAUGGUUUUAAAUAUUUGUAUUUUGGAUUUACAGAAUUUUCCGCAUGGGAUAUGACAUUAUGCAGUGUCUUAGCAUAAUUCUCAAGACGUAAAAUAGGGAGAAAAAUGCAUAUUUCCUUUACAAGAGUCCAACCUGUGGGAGAAAUCUUGUUGAUGUCUACAGGCAAGACUAAUGCCGAACUGAGAGAUCAAAAUGGCCAUCGAGAACAACGAGGAUGUAAUUGGGCUGCAAGUUUGGUCUUAUAAUUAGCGGUGAGCAAAAUUAAAUUUAAAAUAGAUAAAUAAAUUAAAUGAAUUAAUUUAAUUUAAAAAUUGUUUGAUUUAUUAAAUAAUUUAGUUAGAUUUAAAUUUAAUUCGCAGGCUAUGCUGCCUCCAUCUACGAUUGCCUCAUUGGCUGACCUUGGCUUGCUUCUUUUCGGUCUUGAUUGUGUCCAUACGCUUUUCUCAUUGCUUUUGUUUCUUCUGUGGGUGAGAAAUUUUAUUGCUUUUUGUGUAUAUGAGAAAUAUGUGGGUGAGAAAUUAAUGUCAAAUUUUCUUUCUUUUGAAAAUUGGGUAUUUGAAUAUGUGAGCUUUUGUUAUCUUUUAGAGCUUGUUUUAUAGCUAGGAAAAGUGAAACGUAAAUGGUAAGAAAAAAAAAUGGAAAAACAGAAAGGAAAAUAGAAGAAGAAAAAAUUAAAAGUUUAAUUUUCUUAUUUUGUAAGAAAAAAAAUGAAAAAAGAAAAAGCUUGCAAGAAUUUGUGUGGAGAAUGCUUAAAGAAUAUUUUUGAACCAUUUUGUUUUUCACUUAAAUUGAGCAAGAG
rnacentral:misc_RNA from 1 species